AUUGAACGCUGGCGGCAUGCUUUACACAUGCAAGUCGAACGGUAACAGGGUGCUUGCACCGCUGACGAGUGGCGAACGGGUGAGUAAUGCGUCGGAACGUGCCGAGUAGUGGGGGAUAACGCAGCGAAAGUUGUGCUAAUACCGCAUACGUACUGAGGUAGAAAGUGGGGGACCUUCGGGCCUCACGCUAUUCGAGCGGCCGACGUCUGAUUAGCUAGUAGGUGAGGUAAAGGCUCACCUAGGCGACGAUCAGUAGCGGGUCUGAGAGGAUGAUACGCCACACUGGGACUGAGAACAGGCCCAGACUCCUACGGGAGGCAGCAGGGGGGAAUUUUGGACAAUGGGCGAAAGCCUGAUCCAGCCAUGCCGCGUGUCUGAAGAAGGCCUUCGGGUUGUAAAGGACUUUUGUCGGGGAGGAAAUCCCCAGCGUUAAUACCGCUGGGGGAUGACAGUACCUGAAGAAUAAGCACCGGCUAACUACGUGCCAGCCGCCGCCGUAACAC
rnacentral:rRNA from 1 species